AGAGUUUGAUCAUGGCUCAGGACGAACGCUGGCGGCGUGCUUAACACAUGCAAGUCGAACGAAGAGCGAUGGAAGCUUGCUUCUAUCAAUUUUAGUGGCGAACGGGUGAGUAACGCGUAAUCAACCUGCCCUUCAGAGGGGGACAACGGUUGGAAACGACUGCUAAUACCGCAUACGAUCCAAUCUCGGCAUCGAGACUGGAUGAAAGGUGGCCUCUAUUUAUAAGCUAUCACUGAAGGAGGGGAUUGCGUCUGAUUAGCUAGUUGGAGGGGUAACGGCCCACCAAGGCGAUGAUCAGUAGCCGGUCUGAGAGGAUGAACGGCCACAUUGGGACUGAGACACAGCCCA
rnacentral:rRNA from 1 species